GAUGAACGCUGGCGGCGUGCCUAAUACAUGCAAGUCGAGCGAACGGACGAGACGCUUGCUUUUCUGAUGUUAGCGGCGGACGGGUGAGUAACACGUGGAUAACCUACCUAUAAGACUGGGAUAACUUCGGGAAACCGGAGCUAAUACCGGAUAAUCUUUUGAACCGCAUGGUUCAAAAGUGAAAGACGGUCUUGCUGUCACUUAUAGAUGGAUCCGCGCUGCAUUAGCUAGUUGGUAAGGUAACGGCUUACCAAGGCAACGAUGCAUAGCCGACCUGAGAGGGUGAUCGGCCACACUGGAACUGAGACACGGUCCAGACUCCUACGGGAGGCAGCAGUAGGGAAUCUUCCGCAAAGGGCGAAAGCCUGACGGAGCAACGCCGCGUGAGUGAUGAAGGUCUUCGGAUCGUAAAACUCUGUUAUUAGGGAAGAACAUAUGUGUAAGUAACUGUGCACAUCUUGACGGUACCUAAUCAGAAAGCCACGGCUAACUACGUG
rnacentral:rRNA from 1 species